rnacentral:rRNA from 1 species
UACGGAGGGUGCUAGCGUUGUUCGGAAUCACUGGGCGUAAAGCGCGUGUAGGCGGUCUGCUAAGUCUGAUGUGAAAGCCCGGGGCUCACCCCCGGAAGUGCAUUGGAAACUGGCAGACUGGAGUCCCGGAGAGGAGGGUGGAAUUCCUGGUGUAGCGGUGAAAUGCGUAGAUAUCAGGAGGAACACCGGUGGCGAAGGCGGGUCUCUGGGCCGUAACUGACGCUGAGGAGCGAAAGCAUGGGGAGCGAACAGG